rnacentral:rRNA from 1 species
GACGAACGCUGGCGGCGUGCUUAACACAUGCAAGUCGAACGGAAAGGCCUGCUUUCCCUUGUGGAUUGCGGGUACUCGAGUGGCGAACGGGUGAGUAACACGUGAGUGAUCUGCCCCCAACUUGGGUAUAAGCCUGGGAAACUGGGUCUAAUUCCCGAUAGGACUGCAGGGUGGUGCCUGUGGUGGAAAACGAUUUUCUAGUGGUUGGGGAUGAGCUCGCGGCCUAUCAGCUUGUUGGUGGGGUAAUGGCCUACCAAGGCGGCGACGGGUAGCCGGCCUGAGAGGGUGGACGGCCACAUUGGGACUGAGAUACGGCCCAGACUCCUACGGGAGGCAGCAGUGGGGAAUAUUGCACAAUGGGCGGAAGCCUGAUGCAGCGACGCCGCGUGGGGGAUGACGGCCUUCGGGUUGUAAACUCCUUUCGACCGCGAGGAAGCCACCUGGUUGGAAGGGUGGUGACGGUAGUGAUAGAAGAAGCACCGGCUAACUACGUG